rnacentral:rRNA from 1 species
UGAGGAAUUUUGCGCAAUGGGGGAAACCCUGACGCAGCGACGCCGCGUGGAGGAUGAAGGCCUUCGGGUCGUAAACUCCUGUCAGAGGUGAAGAAUACCCGCAAGGGUUUGACGGUAACCUCAGAGGAAGCCCCGGCUAACUACGUGCCAGCAGCCGCGGUAAUACGUAGGGGGCAAACGUUACUCGGAAUUACUGGGCGUAAAGGGUGCGUAGGCGGCUGGGAAAGUCAAGGAUGAAAUCCCGUGGCUCAACUGCGGAACGGUCCUUGAAACUACUCGGCUUGAGGAUAACCGAAGAGAACGGAAUUCCCGGUGGAGCGGUGAAAUGCGUAGAUAUCGGGAGGAACACCUGAGGCGAAAGCGGUUCUCUAGACUACUCCUGACGCUGAGGCACGAAAGCUAGGGGAGCAAACGGG